AUCUAAAUAGUUUAUUAGUUUAAAAUGUUGGCUUGUGGUGCCAGAGAAGUGAAUUUUACUUUGGAUAA
rnacentral:tRNA from 1 species